GAUGAACGCUGGCGGCGUGCCUAACACAUGCGAGUCGAGCGUGAUUUAUGAGGACGAAACUUCGGUCUAGGAAUCAUAAUGAAAGCGGCGGACGGGUGAGUAACGCGUAGGCAACCUGCCCUUGACACAGGGAUAGCCUCGGGAAACCGGGAUUAAAACCUGAAGACGCCAAACAGUCACAUGGCUGUUUGGCCAAAGAUUUAUCGGUCAAGGAUGGGCCUGCGUCUGAUUAGUUAGUUGGUGGGGUAACGGCCUACCAAGACGACGAUCAGUAGCCGACCUGAGAGGGUGAUCGGCCACAUUGGAACUGAGACACGGUCCAAACUCCUACGGGAGGCAGCAGUGGGGAAUAUUGCACAAUGGGCGAAAGCCUGAUGCAGCAACGCCGCGUGAGCGAUGAAGGCCUUUGGGUCGUAAAGCUCUGUCCUUGGGGAAGAAACAAAUGACGGUACCCAAGGAGGAAGCCCCGGCUAACUACGUGCCAGCCGCCGCCGUAA
rnacentral:rRNA from 1 species